rnacentral:ncRNA from 1 species
CGGCGGGAGAGUCCCGCUCCGUGCGGGCGCCGAAGGAGCAAGCCCUCCCGCUAAUCUCUCAGGCCCCGGUACCGCCG